rnacentral:rRNA from 1 species
UACAAAGGAGACCUGUGUUAUUCAUCUUUAUUAGGUUUAAAGGGUACCUAGACUGCGUAAUAAGCCUAUUAGGGGUUUAAAUAAGCUAGAGUUUCAUAAGGGAGGAUGGUGAAGUAUCGGGGAAGUAGAGAUAAAAUUUUUUUGAUAGACCUGAGACACUGGUAAAGGCGAAAAGCAGACCUCUAUUAAAAACUGACGUUGAGGGACGAAGGCAUCAUUUAAACGAAUAGG